rnacentral:rRNA from 1 species
CCUACGGGAGGCAGCAGUGGGGAAUAUUGGGCAAUGGAGGAAACUCUGACCCAGCAACGCCGCGUGAAUGAUGAAGGUUUUCGGAUUGUAAAGUUCUUUUCUUAGGGAAGAAGAAAGUGAUGGUACCUUAGGAAUAAGCCUCGGCUAACUCCGUGCCAGCAGCCGCGGUAAGACGGAGGAGGCAAGCGUUAGGCGUAAUGACGGGGCGUAAAGGGGGCGUAGGUGGUUUGACAAGUUAGUAGCGAAACUCCGGAGCUCAACUACGGAACUGUAACUAAAACUGUUGAUCUUGAGUGUAGGAGAGGCAGGCGGAAUUCCUGGUGUAGCGGUGGAAUGCGUAGAUAUUAGGAGGAAGAC